rnacentral:rRNA from 1 species
AUUGAACGCUGGCGGCAGGCCUAACACAUGCAAGUCGAGCGGAUGAAGGGUGCUUGCUCCUGGAUUCAGCGGCGGACGGGCGAGUAAGGCCUAGGAACCUCCCUGUCUGUGUGGGCUAAGGUCCGGAAACGGGCGCAAAUACCCUAAACGCCCUUAGGAACAACGUGGGGAAUCUUCGGACCUCCCGCCCUCGGGCGAUCCAAUGUCGCUAUGUCGGAUUAGCUAGUUGGUGGGGUAAAGGCCCACCAAGGCGACGAUCCGUAGCUGGUCUGAGAGGAUGAUCAGCCACACUGGAACUGAGACACGGUCCAGACUCCUACGGGAGGCAGCAGUGGGGAAUAUUGGACAAUGGGCGAAAGCCUGAUCCAGCCAUGCCGCGUGUGUGAAGAAGGUCUUCGGAUUGUAAAGCACUUUAAGUUGGGAGGAAGGGCAGUAAGUUAAUACCUUGCUGUUUUGACGUUACCAACAGAAUAAGCACCGGCUAACUUCGUG